UACGUAGGGUGCGAGCGUUGUCCGGAAUUACUGGGCGUAAAGAGCUCGUAGGCGGUUUGUCGCGUCUGCCGUGAAAGUCCGGGGCUCAACUCCGGAUCUGCGGUGGGUACGGGCAGACUAGAGUGAUGUAGGGGAGACUGGAAUUCCUGGUGUAGCGGUGAAAUGCGCAGAUAUCAGGAGGAACACCGAUGGCGAAGGCAGGUCUCUGGGCAUUAACUGACGCUGAGGAGCGAAAGCAUGGGGAGCGAACAGGA
rnacentral:rRNA from 1 species